rnacentral:rRNA from 1 species
UACGGAGGGUGCAAGCGUUAUCCGGAUUCACUGGGUUUAAAGGGCGCGUAGGUGGGCAGGUAAGUCCGUGGUGAAAUCCCUGAGCUUAACUCGGGAACUGCCAUGGAUACUAUUUGUCUUGAAUAUUGUGGAGGUAAGCGGAAUAUGUCAUGUAGCGGUGAAAUGCUUAGAUAUGACAUAGAACACCAAUUGCGAAGGCAGCUUACUACACAGUUAUUGACACUGAGGCACGAAAGCGUGGGGAUCAAACAGG